AGAUUGGGAAUCUAUUGCCCAAGCUGUCUUGGAGGGCUCUCAAUGGUUGCAACUUCGUAGCUGGUGGGAAGAAGAAGCUAGAAAGCAGGCUCGGAUUAAUGAAGGACAGAAUCCCUCUGGUCCUCUCGAGGACAAGUUAAUGGGAGAGGGCCAUUAUCGGGCUUUAAGAGAACAGGCUCAAUACUCUGAUCAGGACUUAAAACAAGUCCGCCAGGUCUUUUUAUGAGCAUGGCGCCGUGUGGUGCUUACUGGCCACGCCCAGCCCUCCUUUGUUAAAACAAUGCAAGGUCCCAAUGAGCCAUAUACUGAUUUUCUAGCAAGACUGAGGGUAACUGUGGAACGAGCUGUAGGGAGGGAUGAAAUUUCAGAGAUAUUAUUACAAACUUUAGCAUUUGAAAAUGCAAAUACUGAAUGCAAACGUAUACUGGGACCAUUAAAAGGCAGGGUGCAUCUAUAGCUGAAUAUAUCAGAGCCUGCACGGGAAUAGGAAGAACAGAGCAUCAGGCUAAUGUCUUUGCUACAGCCUUGGCCAAAGCUAUGAAACCACAAAAGGAAGGUAACUGCUUCCAUUGUGGAAAACUUGGUCAUAUGAAAAGAGAAUGUCGGAAAUUAAAAGCUGAUCAAGGUGCAAUUCCUAAAGACAGAUCUUUUGCUGGGAGGAAUAAGACUCCUCCUGGACCUUGCUGUCGAUGCGGGAAGGGGCUUCAUUGGACUAAUGAGUGCAAAUCUAAAACAGACAAAAUGGGCAACCCGAUACCAGGAAACUGUCCUGUGGGCCUAAGUCCUUGAGGCCCAGGAACAAUACCGGGGACUUUUCUUCCCUGUUCUCCUGCUGUCCUGCCUACCCCAACCCUGUUCCCUCCCAACAACAGUUACCAGUCAAUGCCUCAUUAAAAGGACCUCAAAUGAUGAUUUCAGACUUACGGUUUGCUACUUCAGGGAGUGCUGCUGCUGAUUUGCCACUAGCUGAGAAUGUUCUUUUGUCACCAGGAGGAGGCAUUUACAAAUUAAAAACAAAUGUGAAGAUGGCGGAGUAGAAACGCGAGUGCUUAGUACUGAGUCUCUGGGCCCACUCGGUUCGGGUCUCAGUGGCAGCAGCAGUGAUCAUUAAGCAAAGAGAGCCUAGGGUAGUUGCCCAAGAUGCCGAACAUCAAAAUCUUCAGUGGCAGCUCCCACCAGGAUCUAUCCCAGAAGAUUGCCGACCGCCUGGGCCUGGAACUGGGCAAGGUGGUGACUAAGAAAUUCAGCAACCAGGAGACCUGUGUGGAAAUCGGAGAAAGUGUUCGUGGAGAGGAUGUCUACAUUGUUCAGAGUGGCUGUGGUGAAAUCAAUGACAAUCUCAUGGAACUUUUGAUUAUGAUUAAUGCCUGCAAGAUUGCUUCAGCCAGCCGGGUUACUGCAGUCAUCCCGUGCUUCCCUUAUGCCCGGCAGGAUAAGAAGGAUAAGAGCCAGGCUCCAGUCUCAGCCAAGCUGGUUGCAAAUAUGCUCUCUGUAGCAGGCAUGGAUCAUAUCAUCACUAUGGACCUUCAUGCUUCUCAAAUUCAGGGCUUUUUUGAUAUCCCAGUCGACAAUUUGUAUGCAGAGCCAGCGGUCCUCAAGUGGAUAAGGGAGAACAUCUCUGAGUGGAGGAACUGCACAAUUGUCUCACCUGAUGCUGGAGGAGCAAAGAGAGUGACUUCCAUCGCAGACCGGUUGAAUGUGGACUUUGCCUUGAUUCACAAAGAACGGAAGAAGGCCAAUGAAGUGGACCGCAUGGUGCUCGUAGGGGACGUGAAGGACUGUGUGGCCAUCCUCAUGGAUGACAUGGCUGACACUUGUGGCACAAUCUGCCAUGCAGCUGACAAAUUUCUCUCAGCUGGAGCCACCAGGGUUUAUGCUGUCCUGACUCAUGGAAUCUUUUCUGGCCCAGCCAUUUCUCGUAUUAAUAAUGCAUGCUUUGAAGCAGUAGUAGUCACCAAUACCGUACCUCAGGAGGAUAAGAUGAAGCAUUGCUCCAAAAUACAGGUGAUUGACAUCUCCAUGAUCCUCGCGGAAGCCAUCAGGAGAACUCACAAUGGAGAGUCCGUCUCCUAUCUGUUCAGCCAUGUCCCUUUAUAAUAGAAUAACUCCUGAGGCUUUUCAAAAAUAAAGUGAGCCCCACCCCUUGUUUUUUUCUUUGGUGUUUGAUGAAAAAUCCAGCAGAAGACCCAGCUUGUUGCAGUGUAGUUCUCUACAUCCCACAUCAAUUAUAUGAGCGAUACUACUAUUGUGUUGGCCAAAAAGUUCAUUUGGGUUGUUCCUUAACAGUUUGUGGGAAAACCUGAAUGAACUUACUGGUCAACCCAAUACGUUAGAGAAAUAUAGAGUGACAGUAGGUGCUGGGAUUUUCUACCUGUAUUGUCUCAUCCUGGCUUCUUUGAUCUUGUGAGCCUUGCAGCUUUAACUGUUCAGCUUCUACAAGAUGUCGGACUUUGGAAAGCUUUGUGUAGAGUGUCCAAAUAUGUUUGGGGAAGCUCAGACUACUUUGCAUGUGAAUGCUUCAGCAACCGCCCCCACCCCGCAAUGUGUGAUAAGUUCUCUAAAGUCUGUACUAAAUUAUGCAAGAGCCUAGGGAAACAUGAACCCAGAUCUGGUUGCUGAGCCCCUGUAAGGCUAGAGAAACCCUAGGGCAGGAGCCUGAGGGGAAGCAACCCACCAUAGAGCAAAUGAUUCUUGGGAGGAAAAAGCCUGAUCCAUCACCCUUUGCUUGGGUUCUGUCACUUGGAUUCUUUUUUGUCCCUAUUCCUUUCCAUUUGGCCUGAUCUUCUUUUCCUGGCCAAAUAUCCACUUGGUCCCAAGUGAUUGUUGUGCCAUAGUUUUCUGGAAAGCAAACUCAGUUCCUGCUCUAUGAUCUGUAACAUUAACAUGAGAUGAUUCUGCUGUAGCUUAACCUUCCUUAGCCCACUACCACUGCGGUAGUAGGUUUUCGGUGGUGGUGUAGUGCCUUUUGAUUAAUUUAACUGUUUAUCAUCUUUCUUUGGAUCUAUUUGGCCUCUCAAAUGACCUGAGAUUUCUGUUUUAAAAAAGUUGAUAUUACUGUCUCUUGUAGAAGAAACUAAUAAAGUUAUCUCUUUGA